ACCUUGCUGGUGCUUCACAGGGAUGGUACAGACUCAGACCAGAGCUCCCUUGAGAAGCACUAUACGGCCCAGGAGAAGGACUGCAUCAAGUACAUCGAUCACUACCUUGCUGGUGCUUCACAGGAAUGGAACAGACUCAAAGUCCUUCAAUGUUGUUAACUUGUUGAAUGCCUUGUACACGCUGUUCAACGCCAUCAUUUCCAACUAUGACAUCUAAAAGGUUGAAAGCAUCGACGAUGCCUACAUGUUGGUCUCCUGCCUACUGAUCCGUAAUGGCAGCCGUCAUGCUGGUAUGAUCGCCUCCACUGCAUGGCAUCUCCUGGAGGGCGUUGAUAGUUGAUCAUGCCACACAAACAAGAUGAGAAACUCAAACUCCGCAUCAGUAUUCACUCAGGGCAAAGGUGAAAGCCUGACGUACUGGCUCGAGGGACAUGAUCCAAGCUACAAGAUCGACC